rnacentral:rRNA from 1 species
AGAGUUUGAUCCUGGCUCAGAUUGAACGCUGGCGGCAUGCCUUACACAUGCAAGUCGAACGGCAGCACGGGUGCUUGCACUUGGUGGCGAAUGGCGAACGGGUGAGUAAUACAUCGGAACAUGUCCUGUAGUGGGGGAUAGCCCGGCGAAAGCCGGAUUAAUACCGCAUACGAUCCACGGAUGAAAGCGGGGGACCUUCGGGCCUCGCGCUAUAGGGCCGGCCGAUGGCUGAUUAACUAGUUGGUGGGGUAAGGCCUACCAAGGCGACGAUCAGUANCUGGUCUGAGAGAC